AGAGAAGGGAGGUCCAGGUUCAAACCCAGGCUGAGGAACAGAAACGACAGCAAACUUGCCACCCGAAUUAUCAUUAAGCACAAGGCUGCCUUCUAAGAGAUAAAUUGAUAAGGCGAUAAGAAUGGAAAAGCUGCGGGAGUCUAUCGGAAAAAAUUUUCUAGGGAAUGGAAAGAAGGCACCAUAAAAAUCCCAAAGAAGGGAGACCUUAGUCGAUGUACUAAUUAACGGGGGAGCAUCUUACUUGUAAUUAUUAGUGAAAUUUUUAAUAAAAUUGCGCUUGUAAGGAUUGCAGGGACAUUGGAUAAAGUGCUCCGAAAAGACACACAGGUAGGUCUAACAUAGAUCUCGUAUUGAACAAAUCAAUACUGUAAAAAUUAUUACAGAACAAUGGAUUUCAUGUCAUCACCUCUUCAUGUAAUGUUUGUGGACUUUCAAUGCUUUCAAAGCGUUUAACUUCUUAAGUAAGAAGCAGAUAUGGGAAGAACUAAGGGUAAAAGAAAUCCCUAGGAAAUUUAUUAUGUAAUAAACGAAGAAUAUGAGAAUUAACUUUGCCUGUACAGGGUUGCAUGAAGAUUUCUGUUGCCCUUGGUAGUAUCAUAUCUACGAAAGGUGGUGCCAAUAUUGAUGCAAAAACAAGAAAAAAAGAAGCCUUUUUGGAUUCAGAAAAGUGUGGCUUUCUCCACAGCGAUACAAAAAAUAAAGAUUUUUAACUGCCCAAAUUAUCUUUGCACGGAUGCGAAACAUUGUCAUGAAAGACAAUUUAGCGUAAAAUCCAGACAUUCAUUAAGAGAUGUUUAGGAUAUGUUUUAAGCAGGGCUGGGAAGUAACUCGUUACUUGUAACGACGUUUCAGUUACUUUUUUUUUGUAACUCUAACUUC